UGAGCAAUCUGCCCUUCUCUUCGGAAUAAGCGUUGGAAACGACGUCUAAUGCCGAAUACGACCUCCUUUCACAUGAUCGGAGGUGGAAAGCUCCGGCGGAGAAGGAUGAGCUCGCGGCCUAUCAGCUAGUUGGUGUGGGUAACGGCCCACCAAGGCGACGACGGGUAGCCGGCCUGAGAGGGUGACCGGCCACACUGGGACUGAGAUACGGCCCAGACUCCUACGGGAGCAGCAGG
rnacentral:rRNA from 1 species